rnacentral:rRNA from 1 species
AGUCGAACGAUGAAGAAAAGAAUUGAAGCUUCGGCAGAAAUUCAUUUCGGAUUAGUGGCAGACGGGUGAGUAACGCGUGAGCAACCUACCUCUUACAAAGGGAUAGCCUCGGGAAACCGGGAUUAAUACCAUAUAACAUUGCGACGAAGCAUUUCGAUGCAAUCAAAGCUACGGCGGUAAGAGAUGGGCUCGCGUCCCAUUAACCAGAUGGUGAGGUAACGGCUCACCAUAGUAACGAUGGGUAACCGGCCUGAGAGGGUGAACGGUCACACUGGAACUGAGACACGGUCCAGACUCCUACGGGAGGCAGCAGUGGGGAAUAUUGCACAAUGGAGGGAACUCUGAUGCAGCGACGCCGCGUGAGUGAUGAAGGAAUUCGUUUCGUAAAACUCUGUUCUAUGGGAAGAAAAGGACUGUACCAUAGGAGAAAGCUCCGGCUAAAUACGUGCCAGCAGCCGCGGUAAUACGUAUGGAGCGAGCGUUGUCCGGAAUUAUUGGGCGUAAAGGGUGCGCAGGCGGCUUUACAAGUUGGAUGUGAAAUAUUGUGGCUCAACCACAAACGUGCAUCC